CUCUGUUCAAGUUAGAAAGGGCUUUAGGUGAAAGAAGGGUAUUUUGGGUGAUACUCAUGAGGAUGUGAGUAGCAACAGAAUAGGAAUAUUCCAGGUCAGUUGUUUGAGUACUGAUGCCCUCCUGGACCUUGGACAGCCAGAAUAUCAUCAGGGGUUUGGGAAGUAAGAGAUGAAGUCUAUGGUUACUGCUGGUCAGAAGUAUGGCCACCUGAGAGCCAGGGGAUGAGCUCAAGGAGGCAAAACUUCAGAAUGGAGGUCGUGGAGAAGAAGACCGGGUGUGAGCAACAGGACCCCAGGGUGAGCACAAUCCCGUCUCCCUAAUCUAGGGCUGGUUAUGUGACCCCAUCCACAGCUCCCACCUCACUGAGUUGCUCACAGAUCAAGUGAGUGAACGUGUACGGAGUGUUUGCAGCAGUGCUUGCAAUAGUGUCAGUGCUGCACAAAUGUGGACCACGGCGACCUUUUCUAGACGCUGCUACUCUGGGGAUCUGUGAGCUCUUUCUGCUCUUCCAUGUUGCCUCAAACUUUCCAGGACAAGGUAGUUCCCCUCCAGAUCCUUUUUGGCUACUAACUGGCAUCUCAAAUGCUAAAAGUUUCAGGUCUUUCCUCCAGAAUAAAACCCCAGCAGUACUAGCACGUGUGCAAUAGCACACAUUAUGGGUUCAUUCAUUUGUUUCUUCCUUCAUUCAAAUACUUUUUGGGUGCCUACUUGGUUUUGGACACUAUUCGUGGUUCAAGAGAAAGAAUGGUUAAGAAAAUUAAACCAGAUCUUGGUCCUCACAAAACCUGCAGUCUGAUGGGGUGGUGGGAGAGGGUGUGUGUGGGUGGGUGGGUGGGUGCAGGGGCAGCAUGUAGCUCAGUGAUAGAGCCCCUCUACCACUCGGCAUGGGUGAGGCCCUGGUUCAAUCCCUGUCAGGCUGUCAGGGAAGGUAAGCAGCUCUGUGAGAUUAUGAAAUGAGGGAACACCCUGCUCGGGGUGGGAACUUCCCUGAGCAAGUGGUGCUUGAGCCAGGAAUUAAAAUGCAUAUGUGGUAACUAAGUAGUUAGGAACAUUCCAGGCAAAUGCAGAGUACAUUCAAACAUCUGUCAACUAUCUGUUAACAUCUUUCAACGAUCAUUUCCAAAGUGCUUACUGGUGUCAGGAAUUCUGAUGAGAACUUUGUGUUUAUUUUUUCAUGUAGAAAUCACUUCAAUCCUUUGAAAUAGAAAUAAUGAUUGUUCAGCCCAUUUUAUAGACAAGGAAAUAGGGGACUCAGAGGAGUCUAGUGACUGAUGCAAAGUCUCAAUUCCUUUUUUUUUUUUUUUGAUACUGGGGAUUGAAUCCAGGGGUGUUUUACCAUUAAACCACACCCCUAGCCCUUUUUAUUUGGAGACAGGGACUUGCUAAAUUGGUCAGGGCCUUGCUAAGAUGAUCACAUGUUUUGUAAGCAGGAUUCCCCCUCAGCUAAGACUAACCCCAAAUGCCUGGGACUUUUAUCUGGAGGGCAGAACUAUCAUAUUUGUCUUUCUAUAUAAAGCCUAGAAUAAUGCUUGGAAUGCAGUUGAUGCUCAAUAAAUGCUGUUUUGUAGGCACCAAAAAAAUUAAAAUUGUAGAGGGGAGAAAGCAAAGCCCCCACAUGUAGGGAAAGGUGACUAGAAGGAGCAGGGACACCUGAGGAGGGACACCUUUGACAGUUGGUGAGGUACCUUCAUCCUUGGAAGUCUUCAUACAGACAGAACCACCACCGGCCAACCCUGAAGCUGUGGUAGAUUUGAAUUAGAUAUUCCCCGACGGAUCUAUACAAAGUGUUCUUGCAAGAAAGUGUUAAUCAUUUUCCAAGAGCCCCUUACCUGAGUGGGAGCCCACAGAGGAAGGGUGGGUAGAGUGAUCUGGCAGCCCCCACAAGGAGCCAGACAGCAUGACAGACAUUGGGAAAGAUGCAGACACUACCUGGAUAUCAGAUGACUUUCAAACCACAGCUUAGACAGAAAGAUGGGUGUGAGCACCUCGCCCGGCGCCUGACAUGUGGUAUUCUCUGCUCAGUUGAAAAAAAAAAAUUUUUUUGUCAGAUCACUGCUUUUAUUUCAUAAAAGAGGGCUUGUGCUUUAAACUGGUGCUUAAGGGGUGAAGGAAUAAAACUAUUUUCCUUUCCUGACAAAGAUUGAUUGUCCUUGGGCGUUUGCAAAGGAGAAUCUUGGCAAAGGCUGUGAUCUCAUUCCAUCUUUCUUGCAGGUUAAGUGGAAGUACUGCCAGAGGCCCAGACCUCAGGCCUUCUGUGGACUGCAGAGCUGGGGACGGGCAGUGUCUGGGAGUGGACGGCAGAGCCUCCUUUUCGCUUCUCUGGACUGUGCCUUUUGCUGAUACCUCAGGGUUCAAAAGGUAAAUGUGAACAUACAAGUUGUAUUUGUAAAUUCCGGGGCUUCAAAGCACACAGCCACAUAUUCUUGUACCUUCUGGACAGUAUGUGAUUUUUCUCCCAAUACUGAAAUUAUGGUAUUGUACGAUUAUCACUAUUCCUAUUUUACAGAUAAGUAAACUGUAGGUUACCUUUGUCCUGAGCUAAGGAGCUGGAAAGUGGUGAGGCGUGUCUCCCUACCCUCAAAAGGAAGCAUAAUCUAUUAACUAAGAGCACCGUUUUCUCUGGCGUUAAGAACUGGACUCAAAUUCUGGUCCUCUCCCUGUUUGGGUGUGGGACUGUGGGAGGUACUGAAGCCCCUUGGAGCAGGUCUUUCUGGGAUCUGGGGACCUGUGGUCCAGGGGUCUCCUUUCUAGGUGUUUCAUUCUUUACUGUGCUUUUUUGGUCAGUUUCUCUUCUUGCCUCAGACAGCGGAUGUUGCCAAAUGGUCUCUCCCUUCCUUUCUCUCUCCCUUCUUUCCUGUGUUCUCUGCUCCAUGGCUGGCAGUGUCGCCGUGGCAGGGGCAGGAGUGAAUGGAGAACUCCAGUCCACUUCAGUCUUCCACUCGGAAACAUGACACCCUCUGUGCUCACCUCUCGCUGGACAGGACAAGGCACAGAUCCACAUGUGCCUGCAAGAUGGCACACGUCCCAGAGAAGAAGAGCACCGGGGUCCUCAACUCUCACUUCUGUGUAGACCUCCAAAUAUGCACUUCUCAUCCAUCAUCUUGCAGCUGACCUGGCAUUUCUAUCAGGAAGUUCAAAGCCACAUUUUCCAUGCACUUCCAGGUUGAGGUCCUGACUGUACGGCAUGAAGGUCAUAUGUUAAUCUUAAAGGCUUACAUUGAAUUUCAUUUCACUGUUUCUCCUUCACCCAGUUUCUCUGUUUUAAAAAUUCCGUUGUGGGCUGGGGAUGUGGCUCAAGCGGUAGCGCACUCGCCUGGCAUGCAUGCGGCCCGGGUUCGAUCCUCAGCACCACAUACAAAGAUGUUGUGUC
rnacentral:lncRNA from 1 species